rnacentral:rRNA from 1 species
UGAGGAAUAUUGGGCAAUGCCCGCAAGGGUGACCCAGCAACGCCGCGUGGAGGAUGAAUGUCGUAAGAUUGUAAACUCCUGUUAGAGGGGAAGAAUAGUACCGGUUGGACCGGUAUAUGACUGUACCCUCAGAGAAAGCCCCGGCUAACUACGUGCCAGCAGCCGCGGUAAUACGUAGGAGGCGAGCGUUAUCCGGAUUUACUGGGCGUAAAGCGCGUGCAGGCGGAUUGGAGAGUUGGAUGUGAAAGCUCCCGGCUUAACUGGGAGAGGUCGUUCAAUACUUCCAGUCUUGAGUGCAGUAGAGGGAAGUGGAAUUCCGGGUGUAGUGGUGAAAUGCGUAGAUAUCCGGAGGAACACCAGUGGCGAAAGCGGCUUCCUGGACUGUAACUGACGCUCAGACGCGAAAGCUAGGGUAGCAAACG